rfam:Lactococcus piscium MKFS47 genome assembly, chromosome: I
GGGAGUUUAGCUCAGCUGGGAGAGCAUCUGCCUUACAAGCAGAGGGUCGGGGGUUCGAACCCCUCAACUCCCA